rnacentral:RNase_P_RNA from 1 species
CGGGGCGGACAGCCGCGGAUGGGAACCGAAAGGGCCCAGAUGAGGAAAGUCCGGGCUCCGCAGGGCAGGGAUAACGGGUAACGCCCGCCGAGGGUGACCUCAGGACAAGUGCAACAGAGAGAUACCGCCGGGUAAAACCGGUAAGGGUGAAAAGGUGCGGCAAGAGCGCACCCGGCUUAUGGCAACAUAAGUUUUACGAUGUAAACUCUAUCCCGGAGCAACGCCGUGGAGGGACAUGCGACCGGCCCGGUCGUCCCGAGGAGGCGGCUUGACUUUGUCAGCAAUGGCAAAGCUAGAUAGAUGGCUGUCAAGACAGAACCCGGCUUACAGCCCC